rnacentral:lncRNA from 1 species
UGACAAUCUUCCAUGCCAUUGGUCCUGAAAUUCUACAUGUAAUAUCAUGCACUUUUGUUCAAGGCUCGAACCACCUAGAAUUUAAGCUUAAGGCAAUUGGAUCAUUUACUUACUCAGUGCUCCCAAAAUAAAGAAGAUAGCGGUUUGGGGUAGGGCAACAUGUGAGAUCUCCCAAGUUUUGGUAGAGUGUGAGAACAGGAAGGAAGGUGGGAGUGUUAGGCAUUUAAACAGAAAUCUGUUAAUACUAAAAGCAAAUUAAGUGCGUGAAAUAUAGGCUAAAGUCAGGACUGCUCCUAACCUCACAUCUUAUACUUCUCAUUGGAGUUUUUACACCUGUUCCUAAAACUUAAGUAUUUGAUUUCUUCUUACGGUUUGUGAAAUCUGAAACAUCUCCUGAACCAAACUUCAGUCUAUUCUAACAACUACUUAAAUAUUUAGCAGCAUUGUAUAAACACACACUAGUGUAGCACCAAUCUAACAAAGAAUGUGGAUAUCCAGAAUCAUGACAAGGUUAAUGCAAAAUAUGACUGGGAAAUAUGAGUUAGAGAAAAUAGGACUGGAUCAGAAAGACAAAAAAAUAGCAGAUAUUAUGAACUGGACUCUUUAAUAUUUAGGGGUUUUAUUUAUCUCUUGUUGUUAUUAUUUUUACUAACAAAACUCCCCAAUGUUUAGCUGUGCACCUGGUACAAAAAUAAAGAAUAUAUUUCCCACCUUCCUUGGCAACUAGGUGUUGUCAUGUGACCAAAUUCUGACAAUGAAAUGUAACUAUAAAUGUUGUGUUAUAGCUCCUUAAAAAUGACCUCAAUGGAUAACUAAUGUGUGUUCUUUGCAUCCUUUUUUCAUUAUGCUUUCUUCCAUCUGCUGGCUGGAAUGCAGAUGUGCUGGUUGGAGUCUGAUAAUGUAUAUCACAUGGUAAUUAUAUCAGAGCAACAAGUUGAAACUGACUUAAAUCUGACAUCUCUGUGACGCCAUAGAGCAUCUCUGAAUCAUCUAUUUCAAAACACUUUUCUAUGUGAUAAAAAUAAACUUUCAUCUCAAAGAUAAGUGAUUGCUUUUAGGGAGGAGGGAACAGAAUCGAAUAGAUGAAAUCAGAGAAACCAUAGGGUAGUGAAAAUAAUAGAAUGCAUAACACCAAGCAUGAAACUUAAUGUAAAUUAUGGACUUGGGUGAUAAUGAUAUUUUAAUGUAGGUUCAUUAAUUGUAACAAAUGUACUACUCUGGUGAUAGAUGUUGAUAAUAUGGGAGGUUAUGUGUGUGGGGACAAGGAAACAGUUCUAUCACCCUCUUAAUUCAUCUGUGAACCUAAAAUUGCUCUUAAAGGAAUUCCCGUUGUGGCUUAAUGGGUUAAGAACCCAACUAGUAUCCAUGAGGAUGUGGGUUCCAUCCCUGGCCUCCCUUAAUGGGUUAAGGACCCAGCAUUGCUACAAGCUGCAGGGUCCAUCACAAAUGUGGCUCAGAUCUGGUGUUGCUCUCGCUGUGGCUGUGGUGUAGGCCUGCAGCUUCAGGUCCAAUUUGACUCCUAGCCUGGAAACUUCCAUAUGCCACAGGUGCAGCCCUGAAAACACACACACAGAAGAAAAGUCUUCAAAAAUAAAGUGAUGAAAUAGACAUGUUGUCUGAAGAGUAACGAAGUUUUAAAAACCACUUCUCAGUUUCUGGUUUGUUUCUUGACAGAUGAUGGUAUCAACUAUUGAGAGAGAGAACACUAAAAUAAGACCAGUUUUAGGUGUAAUAUUAGAAGUUUUGAACAGGUUGACUUAGAUAGGGCUUUGAGACUUUUGUAAAGUAUAUAAAAUGGGUAAUUGGAUUUAUUGAUCUGGAAUGAAGAGAACAGAAUUGCACAGGAGAUAGGAAUGUAGGAGUCACCAAAUGGCAUGCAAGGAGGAACUGAAGACAGGGAUUGAAGCCUAAAAGAUAAGCUUGCACACGUCCUGACAAUGCUUUCCUAUGACUCUCAAGCUAUUUCACCUGCAUGUCUUCCCUUUAAACAUCAUUGUCAGCACAACUUCUAUUUCCCCAAAGUGUCUUGCACCAUGCAUUGCCUUAUGCCUACUGUCAGUUUCAAUGAAAUCUUGCCAGAUAUGUGUCCUUGAAAGAAUCCUUUUCUAUACAACUUUACUCACCAGACCUCACCAAUCGAAAAACCAUCCUUUUCUUCUUAUCAUUCAGUAAUUUUUCUUCCUGCUUUCUUCUUGUUUUCUUUUUUUAAUUAAAAUAUAGUUGAUUGGAGUUCCCGUCGUGGUGCAGUGGUUAACGAAUCCGACUAGGAACCAUGAGGUUGCGGGUUCGGUCCCUGCCCUUGCCAGGGGUCGAAUCGGAGCUGUAGCCUCUGGCCAACGCAAUAGAACCUGCAAUCUCGUGGUUCCUAGUAGGAUUCAUUAACCACUGAGCCACAAUGGGAACUCCCAUGGUCGCAUUUAAUCUUGAAAAUAUCUCCAUGAAGUAACACCGUGCUUAUUUUACAGGUGUGAAAACAAAGCAAGAGUCACACAGAGAGUAAAUGGCAAACCUAAGACCAGGACUAUGUCUCCCUAAUAUCAGGGCCAUGGCAAUGACCAUUCCACUCACUGCCUCCUCAAUUCCAUGGAAAGAUCUGAUUAAGACAAGCAGAAAUGUGUCCUGCAAACCCUAGUGAAACAGGGCUAAAUGUGGAUGAGUUAUGGUGUCAGUGAGGGAAAAAAAAAAAGGAACAAUGAGUAGAGGGGGAGCUAGUGUUCUAGGUUCUGUAAAAGAAAUAUUUUACUGAUAUUCUCAACUACACAGGAGACUCAGUACAAACCUAACCUGUCCAGGUUGUUAAGGAAUUCAGCUCCAGUUGCUUAGCUUUCAGAACUCAAUACUAGGGAGAGGUAAAUGUUGAUAGAAAGGAAAGUUGUUUUUAAGCAGAAUGCCUGCAAUCUGGAGAGAUGGUGGACUCGGUGUCUGUAAAAACCAACUAUGAGGAUUCUGCUCAGUCAUGAUAGUUUUAAAGGGAAAAAGGAAGUAAUCUCAGUUAGUCACUGAGAUGGGAGUUCAGAGUUGUCUCCAUCCCCCACUGUGCGCAAGCUUGGAGACUCCCAUGAUCUUUCUCUAGACGUCAUCUUGUUCACAGUUUGUUCAUGAGAUGACUAAAGGGGAGGCUUGGGAAGAUAAUCUAGUUAUCUGUUAAUUACUUACAUUUUAUUUCAACUUCUUUAAUCCAUGAAAAGAACCAACAGGUUAGGGAAGGUAUUGUGUGAUCAGAAAAUCUGAAAGGUGUGCUUGGGCCAGAGAUAGUAGAGCAUGAGGUUGCCUGGUUUAAAAAUUAGUUAAAAUAUAGUUUUGCUUAAGUGAUGAAAAAAGAGGCUACCUGCUGAGGGAAGUUUCCUGCAAAGAGCUGCUUACACAGGGUCUCAUUCAAAGGAGAAUUAUGCCUUCAAGUGUUUGAAAGAACUUAAGCCCAUCAGCUGCUCUGCAAAGGCAGCAAGGUUCCAGUGCACAAAAUCACAGCCCAUGAAAUAGGUACAAUGGGAAGGCAUGUCAGCAAGCAUCUAGUCCAACCCAUUCCUUUCAUAGAUUUUCAGACUGAGGCCCCCAAAGGGAAGGUAACUGGCCUAAUGUCAUACAAUUGCUAGUGGCAAGUGACAGAAUGAGUGGCAAUUUCCAGGACACUAUGAACCAUGACAAAGUGGCUGGAGUAUGGAGUCUGGAUGCAGACUGAGCAGGAGGAGAAACACCUGUGGAGCUGGUCUAACAACUGGUAGUCAGUGGAUCUUCUUUUUUUGACACUCUCUACAUCUCCAAGAAUGCAGAAAUAGAGUCCUUUCUAUUUUUUUUUUUUUUUCCUUUUUAUGGCUGCACCUGCAGCAUAUGGAAGAUCCCAGGCUAGGGGUCCAAUUGGAGCUGCAACUACCAGCCUACACCACAGCCAUAGCAACGUAGGAUCUGAGCCACUUCUGCAACCUACACCACAGCUCAUGGCAACACCAGAUCCUCAACCUACUGAGUGAGGCCAGGGAUUAAACCUACAUCCUCAUGGAUGUAGUUCUUAACCCACUGAGCCAGGACCAGAGUCAGAGAUCUAGCCUUUUCUAAUUGACACCUUAACUCAAGUUAGUUCACCAUCUUCCACCAAAGAUAAGUACCUCUGACACAGGGCUUUACAUUUUACAAAGUGUCUUCAUAACAAUGGUCAUGAUUGAUGUCUAAGAAAGGAGGAAAUUUAAGGAAGAGAAAUGGAUGGUCUGAAUCUAUGUCACCCAAUGUGGUCAUGCCCUUCCCUCUACCUGGAAAUGAUUCCCAACAACGAAAAGGAAUAUUAUCACAAGCUCUCUGGCUCUUCCUGAGAAGCACACUACUUUUUCCCUGAGGGCUUUUGCUAUAAGUAAAAAUUUUGUGCCACGCUGGCAGAGCAAAGUAUAAUGGAGACGUAUAGAUAUCCAGCAACCUAAAAUAUUUAUUAUCCAGAUCAUCACAGACAAAGUCUUGCAUGAACUUAAAACCUAUUCAUGGGUCAGAUAUUAUUUCAAAUUCUUUAUGAGCGAAACUCCCAAUUUCCCAAAUCAGGUUGAGAUGGGUUCUAUUGCACUUUCAUUAGAAAAGUUCUUCAGAACAGAAAAGUCUUGGAGUUCCUACUGUGGUACAGUGGGUUAAGAAUCAGACUGCAAUGUCUCAGGAUUGCUGGGGAGGUGCGGGUCUGAUCCCUGGCCCAGUAGAGUGGGUUAAAAAAUCUAGCAUUGCCACAUCUGAGGUAUAGUUUACAGCUACAGCUCAGAUUCAAUCCCUGGCCCAGGAACUUCCAUAUGCUGCAGAUGUGACCAUUAAAACACACACACACACACACACACACACACACAAAGACAAACAAAAAACCCAACAGAAAAGCAAAUAACAGAAAGGCCUUACUAUAUUUAUACAUUCAACAAUAUGAUCACACUCCAUUUUAGUCCAAGAAAUUUUUUAAGAAGAUUUUAAGAAAUAUUCAAAAGAACCCUGUGAGAUGAACAAUGCUGUCUCCAUGUUCCAUAUAAGCAAACAAAGGCUGUUUAAUGAUUAGGUAGCUUACCAAAGGUCACAGUGAAUAAGUGGAAAGUCAGAAUUUAAAUAGUUUGCACAGCAUUUUUCUGCUUUUUUCUCUUAUGAUGUAUCUUCAAAUCCCCAAGGUAAUGCAACAAAAUUUUUGGUCAGGAAGAAGGAUUCCCAUUUUACCAAAGAGAAAACAAAAGUACAGAAAGCCGAAACCUCUUGGUAAAGCCACAUAGUAAACUAGAGAGUCUGGGUUCAGAUUUAGGUUUUCUGAUUAAAUUCUGGAGCUCCUUCUGUGUUUUAUCAAAUGCCCCAAUGGCACCUUCAUAUCUAUUAAUUUUAACAAAUACUAUUUCUUUGGAAAUUAUUGCUAUAGAAACAGAGGUAGGUUGCUGAAAUCCUAUUAUCUUUUGCAUCUAAAUUAUGUACAUAUUGCUUAUGUUUGGGAUGGAGAUAAGCAGGAAGAUUUCUGCCAUGGGCAACAUAACAACUAUCCCAAUUGGAAUUCUCCAAUUUUGAGGUUUCUCUGGAGAUUUAAUCUUUACUCUGGGUCCAUAAAAACAUUCUGGCUGUUCAUACAAUACUUUCAAUGCCUUUGUAAUAAUAUUUCUCUUUCAUGUCCCUGCAAAUGGGAAUGUAUUGCUUAAAUAGACCAUUUUUAUUUAUUGUGACUCAUAUAUGGGGAAACACUGCCAAUUUGAAAGCAGCACACUAUUUCCUUGGAACCUCUCACUGAGGGGAUUACAUGGUGCAUCAGACUUGAUGGCAAAUGAAACAGAGAGAGGCUCACUGAUGCAGCAAAUCCCACUCUGGGAAGUGUGUUUCAUUGGAAGACUCCAAACAAGCCAUUAUUUUGUCAGUUGGAACAAAAGCCCUGAUUAAAAAUUAAAAUACAUUCUGUACUGAUAAAUACACCGCUGCCUAAUUACUUGCAAGAUUUAUAUUUUGUGGUGUUAAUUACCGCAUAAUGGUUAUUUUUUUUUUUUACUCCCUAUAAACCAGAACACAAUGAGCUUGACAGUGACAGCUUCAAUAAACAUUUGGUUGUCCCUUUUAUUAGCUAGAUCAGUUCCUGAUUACUAAUGUUUUUAAAUACUUUACUUCAUGGGAAGAGAACAAUGUCCCUUCCAUCAAAUGGCUUUCAAUGUAGGGCAAAGCAUAUAUUUAAAGACACCUUGGAGUUCCCAUCAUGGCUCAGCAGAAAUGGAUCUGACUAGCAUCCAUGAGGAUUCAGGUUCGAUCCCUGGCCUUGCUCAGUGGGUUAAGGAUUUGGCAUUGCCAUGAGCUGUGGUAUAGGUCACAGAUGCAACUAGGAUCUGGUGUUGCUGUGGCCAUGGUAUAGGCCAGCAACUGUAGCUCCAAUUUGACCCCCAGCCUGGGAACCAUGGGUGUGGCCCUAAAAAGCCAAAAAUAUUUUAAAAAGUUAAAGACACCUAAUGAUGGCUAAUUUUUCUGCCAACUGGAUCCUCAAAUUUGCCAUCACCUGAAUUUCUUCAACAUUCACAUACAAAUGCACACAACCAUAACACAAAGCAACAAAAGCACUAAAACAAGUAAAAUGAAGAAAAGCAAAAUAUAGUUUCUGGUAGCUUCAAGAAAUUUUUGAAGGCAGGGAUGAAAAGGGAAGUGGGAGCCAUAACUAAAGGGAGAUCAUAAGAAAAAUGGGAGAGAGAGUAAAGUCAGCAAAACUGGUGGAGUAAGCAGCUCCAAGAACAUAUCCCUCCAUAGAAAUAUUUUAAAACUGAGCAGAAACUGCCAGAAUCAAAUUUAUCACAACUCUAGAAAACUUUCAAAGGUUUACAGCAACUAAGAGAAUGAUGAAUAAAGACAAGUCCACUUAAAAAUCAUAUAAAAGGAAUUCCUGUUGUGGCCCAAUAGUUUAAGAACCCAAGUAGUAUCCAUGAGGAUGCAGGUUCAGUCCCUGGCCUCGCUCAGUAGGUUAAGGAUGCAGCAUCGCUGUGAGUUGUGGUGUAGGUUGCAGAUGCAGCUUGGAUCCCGUGUUGCUGUGGCUAUGGCAUGGGCCAGCAGCUAUAGCUCUGAUUCAACAUAUGGCCCCCACAGGUGUGGCCCUAAAAAGAAAAAAAAAAA